GGCGUCUGUCCCAGCAGACUGUACUGACUGAUGGCCAGGUCUGAAGUGUCCAGGAGGAGGUUGUUGGUCUUCUUACUGGCGGCGUCCUGGACCACUGAGAGACAAUAGGAGGGUCCUCAGAAAGUCACGGCUGCCCCUUCAUACCUGCUCCAUCUCCAGAUGUGCAGAGUGAAUCAGUCUCUGAGCGCUGCUGAGCUCAAACCGCUGCUUCAACUCUUCAAACUUCUCUGCCAGGUUCUCCACCUGCCUGAAGCUCUGAUCCAGACUGAUGGAGCUCAGACUGGACAAGGCCUGGAGGACACAAACACUCACAUUUCUAGGUAUGCAGAUGAAACUCAGAGACCUUCUUCGUGUCCUCCGUUCCUCCCUUUGAGCCUGAAAAUGCUGAAUCCAUCUCUGUGUGCAGAAUCUGCUGCAUCCCGACGAUCCCUG